GUUGUUUGCCUGUGUAGACUAUUUUUUUUCAUCUUUUAUCCUUCUGCGCUUUCUCUCUCUCUCGCUGUCUCUCAUUCUCCUCUGCCUUUCUGCUCCGAAAAUGAAAUUAAUAAUUAUGGGAUAUAGCUAUUUUGGAUCCUGGAUUAGUUUAGAGUUUUAGAAAGAUCGAGAUUGAUUGGACUGGGGACGGGUUUUGGAUUCGAAUUCUAUUUCCAUUCUCUGUGUAUUUUCAGAAUUGUACAUAAAAGUUUUUGUGGAUGUACCGGAACAAUGGUUUGAAGGAAUAUCAAGUGUUAUCCAUUGAAUUAGAUAAAGGAUUUGAUUAAUUUUGUUUAUGGAUUUUAUCUGAAUUUGUUUGCUUCAGUUGCUGACAUUGUUUUGGGUUUUGGGUUGUGUAGUCAAGAUGUUUUGUUACAUUUGUAGUUGGAUGCCACUGCUAAUACAUCUCUUCUCUUUGGUGGAACUGCCAGGAAAUGGAUUAAAGGUUUUGUUAGUGUUGCCCGGAACACCUGAAUUUCAAAAUUAAUCUGUUACGAAUCUCGCGAUUCUGCCAAAUUUGGCUUCUGCAUAUCUUCCAACUCCACGUACCGCUGAGGCACUGACAACACUCCUAGGUAUUGCGUGAUCUUUUCCUGAGCUGCAUUACUGUUUUUUAGAACUGGGGAUAAUAAAUCAGAUCUUGCUGAAACCACUGUAUCACAGUUUAAUCAACUGUUGAAAUCUUCUGUUCCAAUUUUGAUGAAGUAAGUGAACCACAAAUCCUGUAAUAUCCUUUGUUCAGAUCUUCAUGAAGUGAACCACAGUUUUCACAGUUAAUCGAGUAUUGAAUGAUCAGCAGGCUUUUGUUGACCCCAAGCACCUUCAAAAAUCUCAGGUGACUUUUGCCUUUCCUAAGUUCAUAAUGGUGUCCUUUUUGCUUAUAAGUGGUGUGCAUAAACAAUAUUUGUUAAAGGGGACAAGUCUAACCUUACCUGGAAUCUGGAUUUGGAGGAAGAUCGAACAUCAAGCAAGAGAGGAUAAAAAAGUGUUCUUUAGGGAUUUCAUUUGUUUUUUUUUAAUAUAUGUGUUUCCUGAUAACUGCUAUUUUCUUUUCUAAAUCAAAUUCUGUGCUACCAGGGUUGACAGUGGUUUACCUUGAGAGGACUGAGACAAAAAGGGGGAAGGAAACAUGCUGACAUUGGAUUUCAUUGUCGUUGUCGUGAGUUAAGCUUACUCAUAAUAGUUAAGGAAAAAUAGAACUCUUUUUUUCUGUGAAGAGGAAAAAAAGAACUUGAAGAACUGAAUUGUUGCUUGGAAUACAUGUUGUAUUUACCUAUUGGAUCUGCUAUACUGUCAGUGACGUCUCCUGGAAAUUGCCCGCACAAUUGCGCGGGGUUUCUACUAGUGAUAAUAUCAUAAGCAUAGCAAAAUGGUGACUGAACAUGCACAUAUAU